rnacentral:rRNA from 1 species
CCCGGGCCUUGUACACACCGCCCGUCACACCAUGGAGUUGGUUUUACCUGAAGGCGGUGCGCUAACCCGCGAGGGAGGGAGCCGUCGAAGGUAGGGUCGAUGAUUGGGGUG